AGAGUUUGAUCAUGGCUCAGGAUGAACGCUGGCGGCGUGCUUAACACAUGCAAGUCGAGCGAAGCACCCGAUCUGAUUUUUUCGGAAUGAAGAUCGUGUGACUGAGCGGCGGACGGGUGAGUAACGCGUGGGGAACCUGCCUUACACAGGGGGAUAACAGUUAGAAAUGACUGCUAAUACCGCAUAACCCGCUGGAGUCGCAUGACUCUGACGGAAAAGAUUUCAUCGGUGUAAGAUGGACCCGCGUCUGAUUAGCUGGUUGGUGAGGUAACGGCCCACCAAGGCGACGAUCAGUAGCCGACCUGAGAGGGUGAUCGGCCACAUUGGGACUGAGACACGGCCCAAACUCCUACGGGAGGCAGCAGUGGGGAAUAUUGCACAAUGGGGGAAACCCUGAUGCAGCAACGCCGCGUGAGUGAAGAAGUAUUUCGGUAUGUAAAGCUCUAUCAGCAGGGAAGAAACUGACAGUACCUGACUAAGAAGCCCCGGCUAACUACGUGCCAGCAGCCGCGGUAAUACGUAGGGGGCAAGCGUUAUCCGGAUUUACUGGGUGUAAAGGGAGCGUAGACGGUUAUGCAAGUCAGAAGUGAAAGCCCAAAGCUCAACUUCGGGACUGCUUUUGAAACUGUGUAACUAGAGUGCAGGAGGGGUA
rnacentral:rRNA from 1 species